GGGAAAAUUAAUAUUAUUAGUUUAACAGUCAGAUUUUAUUGUUCUUUAAAUUUAAUAUUUUUAGGUGAAAUUUUAAUUUUAUUAGAAAAGACUUAUAUUGAUUCUGUGAAAUUUAAUUUAAAAACAAGGAUUAGAUACCCUUUUAUUUUAAAUGUUAAUAUCAACUAGGGUAGUAAUAGUUAUGUUCUUGAAACCCAAAGAAUUUGGCGGUAUUUUAUUCUUUUUAGAGGAACCUGUCCCUUAAUUGAUAAUCCACGAUGGAGAUUUACUUGUUUUUGUAAUCAGUUUGUAUACCUCCGUCAUCAGAGUAUCUUUUUAAAGUAAAUAUUCCAAAUAUACAAGAUAUAAUAUGUCAGGUCAAGGUGCAAUUUAUGGAUAAGUGGAGGUGGGUUACAAUAAAUAUAUUUAUAUGGAUUAGUAUUAGUAUUAAUAUUAUAAAGGUGGAUUUAAAAGUAAUUUUAUUUCCUUAAUAAUUUGACUUUAGCUCUAAAAUAUGCACACAUCGCCCGUCGCUCUUAUUUUAAAAUAAGAUAAGUCGUAACAUAGUAGGUGUACCGGAAGGUGUACCUAGUAAGUUAAUCAAAUUAGAGCUUGAUAGAAAGCAUUUCAUUUACACUGAA
rnacentral:rRNA from 1 species